GAGAGAACCAGUCGACGGUGACGCCGUCAAAGUCGACGAAGAUGAGUGAUUUUAAUGAUUCUUCUCGUUCUGGAGCAUCUGUGAUUAGGGUUUUCACUCGGAUCGCAACUGCCCACGAAUCCUAAGGUGCCCUAAUUUUCUCUCCAGAAAAUGGCCGGAAACAACUGUAUCUCAGACGGCAAAGAUGAACUCAAUGCUGAAGAGGACGAGAGAGAACUGGUUGAUGGAGAGUCAGUGACGCCGUCAACGACGAAGAUGAGGAAGACGGUAUUAUGGCCUUCUCUUCUGCUUUUUUGUUUUGUUUCUCCCACUGUAUACUCUUGUUUGUGCCAUCUCUUCUUUCUAGUUUGUCUACAUCAACGGCCACAACUCAUUGACAACUUCCUCUCUGGACUAUAUUCAAGAGUGAUCGGCCGUAUGACAAUUCAAAGUAAAUAUCGUUUUGAAGACAAUACUAGGAUCCCUGUGUUACGAAAAUCUGUUUAUGUAUGCAUAGGGAAUUGGUUGAUACUUAUAAAGAGAGAGGUAAACAUAAUGGACGAAGAUAAUUAAGUAAUUUCCAUUAAGCCUCUUUUUGAGCAUUUGUUACCCUAAUUAAUUUUUAUGCCAUUUUCGAUUUAUGGGCUUAUGAUUCUAUCUCCUUCAAAAUUUCCAUGUCAUUUGGCUAUUUCUGUAUAUAACCACGCAUUAUGACUCCUAAUAUUUAAGGAUCGACCAACAAUAGAAAUAAAAUAUCCAUUGAGGAGAACUAUAAGUCACAACUAAACAGGAAUUUUUGGAAAAAGAUUUUUUUGAUCUCUUUUCUAGCUUGCAUGUAAGAUAGAUAUAAUGUAAAAGUUUAAGGCUCAAUUUUUGUUUUCAGAUUUAAAAUAAGGUCUUGGGUAGUGAUAUAAUGUCUUC